CUAAGGAAUUCUUGGACUUUCUUAGAUAAACUGCCUAACUCCGGAACAAGUAUCGGUCCUAAAUGCUCCUCUUACACUCGAAGAAAUACUUGAUGCGAUUAGGCAACUUCAGAAUG